UACGUAGGGGGCAAGCGUUGUCCGGAUUUAUUGGGCGUAAAGCGUGCGUAGGCGGCUGCGCAAGUCGGGUGUGAAACCCCGGGGCUCAACCCCGGAACUGCAUCCGAUACUGCGUGGCUAGAGGUAGGUAGGGGAGAUCGGAAUUCCUGGUGUAGCGGUGAAAUGCGCAGAUAUCAGGAGGAACACCGGUGGCGAAGGCGGAUCUCUGGGCCUUACCUGACGCUCAGGCACGAAAGCUAGGGGAGCGAACAGG
rnacentral:rRNA from 1 species